GCCUCUGUAGCUCAAUGGAAGAGCUGCUCCGUCCUAAGGAGAAGGUUGGGGGUUCGAGUCCCUCCAGGGGCACCG
rnacentral:tRNA from 2 species